GGUGAGAUGGCUGAGUGGUCGAAAGCACCGGUCUUGAAAACCGGCAGGGGUUUGUAGCCCCUCUAGGGUUCAAAUCCCUAUCUCACCGCCA
rnacentral:tRNA from 4 species